rnacentral:rRNA from 1 species
AUGAACGCUGGCGGCGUGCCUCAUCCAUGCCAGUCGAGCGAACAGACGAGGAGCUUGCUCCUCUGACGUUAGCGGCGGACGGGUGAGUAACACGUGGAUAACCUACCUAUAAGACUGGGAUAACUUCGGGAAACCGGAGCUAAUACCGGAUAAUAUAUUGAACCGCAUGGUUCAAUAGUGAAAGACGGUUUUGCUGUCACUUAUAGAUGGAUCCGCGCCGCAUUAGCUAGUUGGUAAGGUAACGGCUUACCAAGGCAACGAUGCGUAGCCGACCUGAGAGGGUGAUCGCCCACACUGGAACUGAGACACGGUCCAGACUCCUACGGGAGGCAGCAGUAGGGAAUCUUCCGCAAUGGGCGAAAGCCUGACGGAGCAACGCCGCGUGAGUGAUGAAGGUCUUCGGAUCGUAAAACUCUGUUAUUAGGGAAGAACAAAUGUGUAAGUAACUAUGCACGUCUUGACGGUACCUAAUCAGAAAGCCACGGCUAACUACGUG